CAUGUAGGCGGUCUACCAAGUUCGGAGUGACAGUCACCAGCUUAACUGGUGAAGGACUUCGAAAACUGGCGGACUUGAGAGCGAAAGAGGGACACGGAAUUCCGGGUGGAGCAGUGAAAUGCGUAGAGAUCCGGAGGAACACCAAAGGCGAAGGCAGUGUCCUGGCUCGUUUCUGACGCUGAGGUGCGAAAGCCAGGGGAGCGAACGGGAUUAGAUACCCCGGUAGUCCUGGCCGUAAACGAUGACCACCAGGCGUGGGAGGGAUCGACCCCUUCCGUGCCGUAGUCAACACAUUAAGUGGUCCGCCUGGGGAGUACGGUCGCAAGACUAAA
rnacentral:rRNA from 1 species